UACGAAGGGUGCAAACGUUAUUCGGAAUCACUGGGCGUAAAGGGUGCGUAGACGGUAUGUUAAGUUCGUCGUUAAAGGCUUCGGCCUAACCGGAGUACCGCGAUGAAAACUGGCGUACUAGAGGGUGAGAGAGAGAAGUGGAAUUCCUGGAGUAGCGGUAAAAUGCGUGGAUCUCAGGAGGAACACCAAUGGCGAAGGCAGCUUCUUGGCUCAUUCCUGACGUUGAGGCACGAAAGCGUGGGGAGCAAACAGG
rnacentral:rRNA from 1 species